UGGUGAAUAUUGGACAAUGGGCGAAAGCCUGAUCCAGCAAUGCCGCGUGAGUGAUGAAGGCCUUCGGGUUGUAAAGCUCUUUUACUCGGGAUGAUAAUGACAGUGCCGGGAGAAUACGCUCCGGCUAACUUCGUGCCAGCAGCCGCGGUAAUACGAGGGGAGCUAGCGUUGUUCGGAAUUACUGGGCGUAAAGCGCGCGUAGGCGGCUUUUUAAGUCAGAGGUGAAAGCCCGGGGCUCAACCCCGGAAUUGCCUUUGAAACUGGAAAGCUAGAAUCUUGGAGAGGUCAGUGGAAUUCCGAGUGUAGAGGUGAAAUUCGUAGAUAUUCGGAAGAACACCAGUGGCGAAGGCGACUGAAUGGUCAAGUAUUGACGCUGAGGUGCGAAAGCGGGGGGAGAAAAAA
rnacentral:rRNA from 1 species